rnacentral:rRNA from 1 species
AACGAACGCUGGCGGCAGGCUUAACACAUGCAAGUCGAGCGAGACCUUCGGGUCUUGCGGCGGACGGGUGAGUAACGCGUGGGAACGUGCCCUUCUCUACGGCAUAGCCCCGGGAAACUGGGAGUAAUACCGUAUACGCUCUUUGGGGGAAAGAUUUAUCGGGGAAGGAUCGGGCCGCGUUGGAUUAGGUAGUUGGUGGGGUAAUGGCCCACCACCCCGUCGUUCCAUAGCUGGUUUGAGAGGAUGAUUAGCCACACUGGGACUGAGACACGGCCCAGACUCCUACGGGAGGCAGCAGUGGGGAAUCUUAGACAAUGGGGGCAACCCUGAUCUAGCCAUGCCGCGUAAGUGAUGAAGGCCUUAGGGUUGUAAAGCUCUUUCAGCUGGGAAGAUAAUGACGGUACCAGCAGAAGAAGCCCCGGCUAACUCCGUG